GGAAGAGUGCAUCCACCGUAUCCCAGUGGUAAGCAGCUUCACAUGCAUGGAAAGCCGAUUGAACACAUACUGGCAACUCAGAGUCAGAUUUGUUGCUCAGAGGCACCCCGGCAGCAGUGAGAUGGAGUCGUUUUUUCCAGCCAAUCUGAGAGAGCCAAGGAUGGUUUGUCUAGCCCAUGGGAUAGAUGAGCUCCCUUGGAUCCCAGGAGACUCACAGACACAGAAGAGCGGGUGGCAGACUGAGCUGGGACACAUAAGGCAUGCGAGUCUGACGUUUAAUCCAGGCGCCAUCAGUGCAUGAUUCAUAACUGGAGCCCUGUAUCACCUGUACUGGAGGAAUGUGUGAAAUGUCAGCGCUGGAAUAAGGCUGCAUGAGUGUCUUGUAACCUGAAGUUAAAAACAAUAUUCAUCUGUCACGUCAGUACCCAGACCGAGGUCACAACAAAAAUGGAGACUACAUCUAAUUACACUUUUGAACAAUUCUUAAAUUAACCAAAUUUCACCAAACCAAAUAACCAUUCAUUUUACAGUCCACUAAUCACCACAGAUUUUUCUGCUAAUUACUUAAUGAUUGUAGUACAUUAUAAGGUGAAUACCCCAGGUACUAAGGAGGUCAUUACAGCUGAAAUAUUAAGAAAAACCUCAACUUUUUUUUUAGAUUAGUUCAACUAAGAACCAUGUAGUUUUGACUGGUU